rnacentral:rRNA from 1 species
AAACAACCCUAUCUAUUCGACAGCAGUGAGGAAUUUUGGACAAUGUAUAAUUAUAUGAUCCAGCGAAUUAAUGGAAAUGAAGAAAAUUUAAAAAUCGUAAAGUUUGUUCGUAAACCUAAAUAAUGUUAAGGUUUAAAGAGAAGUCAUGGCCAAUACAUGUGCCAGCAGCCGCGGUAAUACAUGAGUGA